UACAGAGGGGGCAAGCGUUGUUCGGAAUUACUGGGCGUAAAGGGCGCGUAGGCGGCCUUCUAAGUCAGACGUGAAAUCCCCAGGCUCAACUUGGGAACUGCGUCUGAUACUGGAUGGCUUGAAUUCGGGGAGAGGGAUGCAGAAUUCCAGGUGUAGCGGUGAAAUGCGUAGAUAUCUGGAGGAAUACCGGUGGCGAAGGCGGCAUCCUGGACCGACAUUGACGCUGAUGAGCGAAAGCUAGGGGAGCAAACGGG
rnacentral:rRNA from 1 species